CCUGAAGGGAAAAGUACCCAGAUUUCCUCUGAGGAUCCAAACAAACCCAUGGAGGAAGAUACCCAGCUGCUGCCGUCCACCGUGCAGCGACGACUCGGCUGUCCAGAUCUGUGGUCAUUAGAGGGACAGUGCGGUGUGAAAAGUACCUAGAAGUACACCGUUUGCGAGCUGAAAGCUGGAAAUUCCUCCUCCAAGAGGAUGCUUGCCAUGUGCCAGUGAGGCAAGAGUGGACUCAGCCACGCAAAGAUUAAGACAUGAUCGAUGCACUCAGAGUUACCUUCCGUUACCCUGAGCCACUCCCUAAUCCCUCUGCCCCUUUGUUCUGUGGAGCAAAGCAUCGGCUACUGGAGCACUAACACCCACCUUAUUCUCUGGAGUACCAAGUGACUUAUGCAAGAGCGAGCCGUCCCUGUCCAUCUUUUUGGCAGAGACAGCACCGACCCCCAAAGGAACAAGGAUCUUCUGGCCUCUGUAUACCCAGGGCUCCUGAGCUCUGGAGAGUCAAGAACGAGGAGGAAAGAACCUCAUGAGGGUGCUUUUGCAUUUGCUUUUGAAUGGUUCCUCCCAGAAACAAAGAAAUAUCUCUCUACCUAGGACAAGUUGCCAAUUCAGAGAAACAUAGAGAAGGAACUCACUCAUCCCUGCAUCUGCCCAGUUGUGAUGAUCACUCACUUUUACACCCUUGGGUACCAAUGUGAUAGAAAUUCUAAAAUAGUUCAAACUGACAUGUGGCCAGCUUUCUUUCCUGCUAGUAGACAUUUUCAACCGUAACUGUCUCCAGUGGCUAGGACAUUCUACAUUCCUUUUGUUUUUGGAUGCAUAUAUACGAACAAAAACAUUUUAUUGACGUCAUAAGAUCACAGUAGAAACUAAUACAUUGACUAGAUUAACUCUAGUGUAGAGAAAUUAAUAUACUCUGUCAACUUUCGGUAUGUCAUAUGAUUUUGAGGUGUGCAGCAGGAGAUAAAACUUGUUACUAUCAAGCCUCUAAUAAUCUUCAAGGGUAUAAUAGACUGAUACGCAAAUCAAUCUGGAAAAGCCAGGUUUUUUUCUGAUACUUAAAAAGCACCAAUGCCAAGAGCUCAAAGGUGCCAGAAGCAUUUUAUAAAAUAUAUUUAUGAGGGAGAGAGUCAUUUAAGGGAAUAUGGAAAACUGGAUAGGAAUGAGAUCCAAAAGUGGGGAAUCCGCUUUUUCCUGUGAGGCGGGAACCAAGGUUGGGGCUUGUGUGGGGAAAGCUCCCAGCAUCCCCACUCCUCAGAACAAGCCACAAGGGUAUGUUCCCCUCAAAUGCUGCUGCUGUUGUUUUGGAGUUUUUGAGCCAAGGUUUUAUGUAGACAAGGCAGGACUCCACCUUGGCGGUAGAUAGCCAAAGAGAACCUCGAACCCCCGAUCCUCUUGUUGCCCUGACCCUGGCUCUGGCAUUACAGGUGCACCCCCAUUGCAUCUCCAAAUGCCUCUGAAGAGGGCUAAGUAAACAGAAUUCUGACGUGGAGGAUUCCAUCUCCUUCCUCGAGAAUAAAGGGUUCAAGGAAAGGCCGGUGGCAAUCACAUCGUGUGUGUCUUCUCGGAGUAGGGCUUGUGACUAUCAUGUCAUGUGUGUCUUCUUGGAGUAGGGCUUGCAGUCAGGGGGUGUUCUCACAGAAACUGAGCUGCAGCAGUGAACAGAGGUCCCAGUGGGAGAGAGGAAGGUGCUCUCUGGAAGACCAAGCCAGUUUAAGUGACAGCAUCCCUGAGGCUUAGCGGUCCCCUGCCCAACUAUUGCUGGUGUCGCUGUCCUCCACACGGGGAGAACUGUUAGAACUAAGGGAACAGCACAGCUACAGCCAACCCCCCUUGGGCCCCAGACCUUUCUGUUGGGUAUGCAGGUCUUCAACAGUUGUCUAGCUCUUGCUUUGUUUCGUCUUUCUGUCUCCCACUUUAUUACCAACAGGGUUCCUUCUGACUUUGGGCCCUGACAUUGAUACUCUGACUGUCCAACAGUGUAACCUGAGAAAUGCUGCUGGCCAGGGAGAGGGGCCGGUAGAGCCUGCCUGGCAUGACUCCAACCCCCAUGUUCCCUUGUGCUGCAGGGCCCUUUCCUGAAUGUCACUGGAACACAGCUACUGGAAUAUUCUCAGCAUGAGGAGCCUCUGGGCUUAAAUUUCACCUUAGUAUUAUCGAGUGUCAUAUGGGGGACUGGAGCGGUAUCUCGGCAGUUAGGAAGUUGACCCCAGUUUGGUUCCCAGUACCCAAGCUGGGUGGAUCACAACCACCUCUAACUUAAGUUCCAGGGGAAUCCAACCUUUGGGCUUCUGUAGGCACUUGGACUCGGUUCACACAUGCUUGCAUACAUAAAAAAAAACCAUAAAAUCUUAAAAGUAGUGUGUAUACACUCACACUGCCACUUCCUUCAUGGUCAUAAGACGAAUCUAAGUAUUUGCAAUCACAAUAUUUAUGUUGUAGUGUUGAGCUAUGAUUUUGUGAUGCCUACAGUAGCCAUGCGGGUUAGUUCUCAGUAGACCAUGGCUUGAAGGAGUUGUCAGUCAUAAUUGUCCACGGGCAGCUGUGCCUGAGGCACUGGCCCUGUCAUGAGACACAGGACAUUGAUCUCUGAUUAGAAAAUAAGAGAAAUGGCCAGCAGCAAAUGACCCCUAGAGGUAAGCAGGCAGAUCAAAGGUAUAUGGCACCACCGCUAGGAACCCAGGCUUGGAACCCAGCAUCACUCCCCACAUCUGUCACUGCACAAGGAAAGAGCAGCCAUGUCUCCAAAGUCUCUGUGUUGUGGGUACUGGAUAACACCAUGGGCCACAGAAAGUCCCUGGGCAUGUGUCCUUUGCUGCUGUGGAUCCGGACCAAGGGGAAGUGACUGAACUUUCCCUGUUUCAGACCCUAAGACAGUUCACAUUGUUUUUGCAAGACAUCUUGUCGUGUGGUUCUGCUCUUUUCUCACCUAAAAGGACGAGGGGCCUUCUGAUGGGCCACAACAACACCAUCCACUCCUGCAAUAUCAUGACAGCUGCCUCUAACACAGAGUACACCUGACGCAACCCCAGACUGCAGGACGCUUAGGAAGCCAUCAGACAGAAGCGGUGCAGGGAAACAUCCCCACCCACGUGCUUUGUCUUAAUUCAGGGAGAAGACUGCCCCGUGCCUGGCCAGACCUGCCCCAUGUUGCUCCUUGCUCCCUGUGUGGGCGUGGCCUUUCUCCUGCACAUUCCUCACCUGUCAGUGGCCCCUCUCUGAUACACUCCCUCAUAAACCCAGCAGAGUAUUUCCUAACGAGGAACCGCACCAGCCUGCAGCAACACACCUCGGGACUAGGAGUUGGGAUCUCUGGUCACUUCAUCUCUGUGGUCAGACUCUGCUUUCUCUCACAUGUGUGACCCACAACAGUGCCCAGACAGUCACAUUCAUCCGUCCACCUGCUCUAAUUGAAAUCAGAAAGUAGAUGCCUAUGAGGGUAUGGGGGGUGUUGUCUUGUGUAUUUCUACCAUGGCUUUCUGUUCCUUAGAAGAGGCACUCGGAAGAUGUGUUUUUUAUUCCAAGAGUCCUAAGAGGGGAAGUGAUUCUGCCUGUCUCUAUUUCAAGUUGGUGUUUUCCUCAGUUGCUCCACCCCCUGGAGAAGGGGAUACUUGGGCAAGUAUCGAACUGUCCUAUUUCAGACAUGCUGUUCUGCUUAGAAACUCAGCAACGCCUGCACACCGUCAGCACAGCUGGGCCAAGGUGUAGAGGUAACAUUGCAUGCAAUGCGAUUUGCAAGCUGUGAUAAUUAAAAUCAAGGCAGACUUCAUAAAAGGCUGUGUAGCUACUCCCGAUGUCGCUGCAAUGUAAUAUGCUCUGAGAAAAGAAACCUCAGAGAGAAGCUGUCUGCUUUUGGCUAGCAGCCCCAGUCGUGGCCCACCCAAGCAAGGAAGUCGUAUGGCAGGAGUUGGGAUGAACUGACCACACGGCAUCCCUAACUAAAAACAGAGAACAGAGGAUGUUACAGGCCUGUGCUUAGCUUGCUUUCCCGGAUUAUUAAAUCUAGAUCCCGCCUACAGUUAUGAUGGGAAUUCCUGCACCAACUGAUGUCAUCAAAACUCCCACAAGUCUAUAUUCCAGGCUGCUCUAGAUUCUGUCAGGCUGACAGGGUCACUAAGCCCACAUACGGUGAAUAAACAUUUGUGGCAUACACCCCGGGCCUUCAACCCAACCGGAUCAGAAACAUUGAGGAGGGCCGGCGGGGUUACAGGAGGGUAUCUAGGUUACUGACCAACUUUGGCAGGUGGCAGACGUACAGAUGGGAAGGGAGUUUCCAUGAAAGAUGUGUCAGGUCGCAGCUCAGAGGCAGCUACUUCAGCGGAAGCGUUGAGAGCGUCUUUGGAUGUGUGGGGACCCUAGAGCUGUGUGUUCCGGGGAAUCAUGAACCCUGGACGGGAGGUGAGAAGGCUGUGUAUUAACAAGUCUCACAGUAGAGUAAGGGCCAGAUCACUUCUGCAUGUGAAUGAAGGAUGAUGGGACACUUCCUUGCAGGCUCGGGGCAGGUGGUCCAAGUGGGUGACUUUUGCAUUGUGGAAGCUUCAAGUCAAGGAAACUCUGGACAGACUGGGAGAGAAGCAAAGCUGGGAGGAAGUGAUUAGGAUCUAUUUGCUAGACACAAAAAGACGUUUUCUCAGUACGGAAGAACACCUCUCAGAUUAAUAACUGAAGAACAGAAUGAUGAUGGUUCACACCAGAGGAAAAGCAAGCUGGCUUCUCUCUGAAGAGAUGGGACUUAAAACAAUGGGGGCCCUCUUGUCUCUUGGCUGAGGCAGAAGUUUGAAAACAUUUUAUCUUAGUAAGUCUGAGACAGUGACACUCAGGGCUUCUGGGGAUAUAAACUUAUUAUAAACUAAUGCAUUGUCCUUGGAGGUGGGUUUCAGAAUACUGCAUGUGAGAGGGGGGUGUGUGUGUGGUGUGUGAAGGUGUGUGUGUAUGAGGGGUGUGAUGUG